AAAACAUUUAAUAAUCUCUUUCAAGCAUCAACAAAUUUUCUAAUUAAUGAGUUAAUCCAUAUUUCCCAAUAAAGAAUUAUUCUAUGAAUUAGAGCAUUAAAAUUUAAGAUUAUUUUUUAAAGACCCCAUAGGAUUAACCUUAGUUCCCACCCUUAGUUAACCCAUGGUAUUUGCUAUAAAAUCAAAUUCAUAAUCAUUGUUUUCCAACCAUAGAUUACAAAUUUAAAGACCAUUUAAGUAUUUGGCUAAGAUACUCAAAAAAAUUAAACACAAAAUAAUAACUAAUAGCAAAGUAAAAAAAAUUAAAUUAAAAUUUAGAGAUUAAUAUCAAGUCAAGUUACAUCAAAUCCCUAAUUAAAAGAUUUAGCCAUUCAUUGUAUCAAAAACAAAAAUAAAAUUUGUUUUAACAAACACGCAAAUCUAAGGCACACACA
rnacentral:misc_RNA from 1 species